UACAGAGGUGUCAAACGUUGUCCGGAAUUAUUGGGCGUAAAGGGCGCGUAGGCGGCCAGGUAAGUGAGAUGUGAAAGCUCUGGGCUCAACCCAGGAAUUGCAUUUCAUACUGCUUGGCUAGAGAUUGGUAGAGGAUGGCGGAAUUCCAGGUGUAGCGGUGAAAUGCGUAGAUAUAGGAAGGAACACCAGUGGCGAAGGCGACCACCUGGACUGAUACUGACACUGAGGUGCGAAAGCGUGGGGAGCAAACAGGAUUAGAAACCCCC
rnacentral:rRNA from 1 species